CACUUAAUAAAAACUGUGAUAUGAACUCAAAAACUGCAAUUGAUUAACCAUUAUUUAAACUGAAUAAAUACUGAAUAACUGAAUCCCUCACACACACACACCGAAAAAACCCCGCGCUUUUAUUUUGACACGCGCCCAUCCCCCCACAUCUCACGGUCGGAGUCAGUUUCACAGAGCAGCGCAGGAGGACGAGACAGACACAUAAAGAACAUUAACAGUUUAGUUUGAAUCUCUCUCAGUCAGUCAGGGGGAGAUUAACUGACAGACUGUAUAACGUUACACGUCUUACCAAGAAACCAUUAAAAGUUUAGCACAAAUGUGUCUCGUGGAAGUUUGAAUCUCUCUCAGUCAGGGGGGAGAUUGACUGACAGACUGUCUACUUGCCACCAGACAGUAAUUUACCCUGAAACCUUUUUAAGUAAGGACUAACGUAAACUGACUCUCUGUCUGCUCUCAACCAAACAGUCAUUUAAGACCUUCUAAAGCUUAGCGCAAACGUUUCCCGCGCAAGUUUGGAUCUUUACCAUUGAGGGUGGCUGACUGUUCUCGACCAACCAUCAUUCACACGCAAAAACUUUAAAGAUAAGUAUGAACGUGCCCAGAGCAGUUUUCGAUCUUUACCAUUAAGGAGGCUGACUGACUAUCGUCUACCACCCGUCAUUAACACAACAAAAACUAAAGAAAUGUUACUCCAUAUGGACCUAUUCAUUUACUCAUUAUGCUGUGAGUACACCACAGUUUUAUCAGGGAAAAAAUGUAUAUUUGUGUGUUUCUCACUGCUUGGCAAGGACAGAUGUGGCCCUGUUAAAAAUGUUUAAAUGUCGUUUGGUUUAAGGAACAGCACACUGAUUUUGUUUUAAAAUAUUCCUGUUUGGACAGUCUGUUAAAGCCAUAAAGGAAUACUUGAUAUAUUUCAUAAGUAAAGUGUAAAUGUAAUAUUAGUUUUUAAUGUUGUGAAUUUGGACUGAACAGCACACUUCUGUUUUAUAUCUAAACCUUUUGUAAAAUAAAUGAUUGUUCAAUAAACUGUGUAUUUUA